AAGGUUGAUGAGGAGGACAUUAUCUCCCACAUCCUUGCCGGACACGAUGAGGAGUUCGACCCAGUGGUCUCGACCAUGUGCUCUAGGGUCGAGCUGGUCACGGUUCCGGAGCUGUACUCACAGCUGCUAAGCUUUGAGA
rfam:Hordeum vulgare subsp. vulgare, WGS project CAJW01000000 data, contig: morex_contig_49471